UACGUAGGGGGCGAGCGUUGUUCGGAAUUACUGGGCGUAAAGAGCGCGUAGGCGGCCCUUCAAGUCAGGCGUGAAAGCCCCGGCUCAACCUGGGAAUUGCGCUUGGGACUGGAGGGCUCGAGUUCGGGAGAGGAGAGUGGAAUUCCCAGUGUAGAGGUGAAAUUCGUAGAUAUUGGGAAGAACACCGGUGGCGAAGGCGGCUCUCUGGACCGAGACUGACGCUGAGGCGCGAAAGCGUGGGGAGCAAACAGG
rnacentral:rRNA from 1 species